GCAUUAGCUAGUUGGUAGGGGUAAACGGGCCUACCAAGGCGAUGAUGCAUAGCCCGAGUUUGAGAGACUGAUCGGCCACAUUGGGACUGAGACACGGCCCAAACUCCUACGGGAGGCAGCAGUAGGGAAUCUUCCACAAUGGACGCAAGUCUGAUGGAGCAACGCCGCGUGAGUGAAGAAGGGUUUCGGCUCGUAAAGCUCUGUUGUUGGUGAAGAAGGACAGGGGGUAGUAACUGACCUUUGUUUGACGGUAAUCAAUUAGAAAGUCACGGCUAACUACGUGCCAGCAGCCGCGGUAU
rnacentral:rRNA from 1 species